GGAGUUUAUGCGGUCCGAAUUCACUUUGAGUACAAAAAAAUCUGUUGAUAGGAAUUCCUCAGAGUUUUUCACCGAGGAGGUCGAUCGAAGCGAUUGCAGCAAAGAAUUUAUAUGAAACAAAGCACUUCGUAUACAGGCGUUAGGCGUUAUAGAAAGGAUAGAACGUGCACCUAACCGCUCUGGUAUUGAUCGCUCCCUUAGAGAUGAUGUAGAGAGGUGGUUUUUGAUAAAUCCUCGGUUCAAGACAAAGUAUAGUCCAAAAAAAAAGAUGUUACAGAGAUAUAAAAGACAAUAAGGAGUAAUACAACAACAGAUAGUAACAGAACAAUAGUAUCAUAAAAUAAUACUACAAACAAUCUAAAAAGGUCGUGUCUUCAAUAAGGUGCGCAAUCACGCCAUAUCGUCGGUCUACCUCUACCACUGUUGAAUCCAUCCAUUACCGAUUCUCACACCUCCGCACCUGACAUCUACGUAUCUCCUCAUCACAUACCCAAAUCAUCUCAAACUCGUUUUCUGCAUCUUGUCUUCCAUCAACAUUACUCCCACCUUAUCUCAGAUAUCCCCAUUUUUAAUCAUAUCUUUUAAAAAGUGAAAUUCAUAGUAUGGGCUAAAGAAGAAAUUUUGGAACGAAAAGAGGAAACAAGUAGUUUGAUUUGUUAGUUAUGAUGUCUUCAAGCUCACAUCACAUGGUUGAUUGAUUCACAAUUUAAAAAGUAUAUCCUAAAAAAUAUUCUAUAUAAUUCUAGAGAUGAAAAAUAG
rnacentral:lncRNA from 1 species